ACAAGUUUGAACAUCAAAAGCGAUGAGCAGCAGCGUUUCUGGAAAUAGAAGCACCAUCAACCCCAGUCUUCAUGUUGGAUUGUGAAGUUGUCGCUUCAGCAGCACAGCCCCCGCUGAAUGGCAUCGUACAGAGGAUGCCAGCACUGCGACCUGCAAGACCAGGCUGGAAGACGCCAUUAUGCAAACACCUCUCACAGAUAAGGUCUCCCCUGGAAAGCGGUACAGACAGCGUUUGCUGAUGUUUCUCAGACAGUGUGAGGACACGGGAGGCUCUGAGCGGCGAGAACAGAGGGCAGAAAUUCAUAUGGAUGAUUCUGCUAAAAUGCAGCCGCCGCUGCCGCCGCUGCUGAUCUAAGGAGAAGAACUCACAUUUGCAUAUUAUUCAUUGAAAUGAUUAUCUGCACCUUAGUGCCUGUGAGUGAAAGGUACAAGUAUCCAGGCAUGUUUGUGUGACAGCAUUUAUGUAUCAAUAAAUGGACACAGAGACCCUGCA